GAGGGUAUAGCUCAGUGGUAGAGUGCAUGCCUAGCAUGCAUAAGGCCCUGGGUUCAAUCCUCAGUACCUCCA
rnacentral:tRNA from 1 species